AGCGAACGCUGGCGGCAGGCUUAACACAUGCAAGUCGAGCGGGCAUCCUUGUGGUGUCUGCGGCAGACGGGUGAGUAACGCGUGGGAACGUGCCCUUCGUUUCGGACUAACUCAUGGAAACUUUAGCUAAUACCGGAUACGUGCGAGAACAGAAAGGUUUAUCUGCCGAAGGAUGGGCGUGCGUCUGAUUAGCUAGUUGGUGAGGUUCUGGCUCCCCAAGGCGACGAUGAGUAGCUGGUCUGCGAGGAUGAUCAGCCACACUGGGACGGGGACCAGGCCCAGACUCCGACGAGAGGGAGCAGGGGUGAAUAAUGGACAGUGGGGGCGAGCCUGAUCCAGCCAGGCCGCGAGAGUGAUGUCGGGGUUAGGAAUGGAAAGCGCUUGUAUCCGGGACGAUAAGGCGGUAACCGGAGGAAAAAGACCGGCUAAAUUCCUG
rnacentral:rRNA from 1 species